rnacentral:rRNA from 1 species
GAGUUUGAUCUUGGCUCAGAACGAACGCUGGCGGCAGGCUUAACACAUGCAAGUCGAACGCCCCGCAAGGGGAGUGGCGCACGGGUGAGUAACGCGUGGGAAUAUGCCCUUCGGUUCGGAAUAACACAGGGAAACUUGUGCUAAUACCGGAUACGAUCUACGGAUGAAAGAUUUAUCGCCGAGGGAGUAGCCCGCGUAGGAUUAGCUAGUUGGUGAGGUAAUGGCUCACCAAGGCGACGAUCCUUAGCUGGUCUGAGAGGAUGAUCAGCCACACUGGGACUGAGACACGGCCCAGACUCCUACGGGAGGCAGCAGUGGGGAAUAUUGGACAAUGGGGGAAACCCUGAUCCAGCCAUGCCGCGUGAGUGAUGAAGGCCUUAGGGUUGUAAAGCU